CAAACUUUGAUGGCGACCGGCGCACGGGUGAGUAACACGUAUCCAACCUGCCUCAUACUCGGGGAUAGCCUUUCGAAAGAAAGAUUAAUACCCGAUGUUAUAGUCCUACCGCAUGAUGGGAUUAUUAAAGAAUUUCGGUAUGGGAUGGGGAUGCGUUCCAUUAGUUAGUUGCGGGUAACGGCCCACCAAGACAACGAUGGAUAGGGGUUCUGAGAGGAAGGUCCCCCACAUUGGAACUGAGACACGGUCCAAACUCCUACGGAAGGCAGCAG
rnacentral:rRNA from 1 species